rnacentral:tRNA from 1 species
GGGAUUAUAGCUUAAUAGGUAAAGCAUACUUAUCAUAACUACUUAUAAACUAACAAAUAAUAGUUUAUAAAUAGGUUUAAUAUCAAUAUUUUUAGAAAUAACUUGUUGUUUCUUAGAAUCAAAGAUUAUUUGAUCUUUGUCAGUAAAUCUAGUAAUACUAUUACUACUAGUUUUAUUAUCAGAAACAUAUGUCAUAAAAUUACUUAACAAGUCAAAAGUAAUUUUAUAAUUAAGUGUACUAUUAAUUUUA